UACGGGGGGAGCAAGCGUUGUUCGGAUUUACUGGGCGUAAAGGGCGCGUAGGCGGUCAGUGCAAGUCAGUUGUGAAAUCUCCGGGCUUAACUCGGAACGGUCAACUGAUACUGCUCGACUAGAGUGCGGAAGGGGCAACUGGAAUUCUUGGUGUAGCGGUGAAAUGCGUAGAUAUCAAGAGGAAUACCGAUGGCGAAGGCAGGUCUCUGGGCUGACACUGACGCUCAUGCACGAAAGCGUGGGGAGCAAACAGG
rnacentral:rRNA from 1 species